rnacentral:rRNA from 1 species
CCUACGGGAGGCAGCAGUGAGGAAUAUUGGUCAAUGGACGCAAGUCUGAACCAGCCAAGUAGCGUGCAGGAUGACGGCCCUCCGGGUUGUAAACUGCUUUUAGUUGGGAAUAAAAGGGGGCUCGUGAGCCCCGUAUUGUAUGUACCAUCAGAAAAAGGACCGGCUAAUUCCGUGCCAGCAGGCGCGGUAAUACGGAAGGUCGGGGCGUUAUCCGGAUUUAUUGGGUUUAAAGGGAGCCUAGGCCGGCUUUUAAGGCAGCUGUGAAAGUCCGGGGCUCAACCGUGGAAUUGCAGUUGAAACUGGAUGCCUUGAGUGCAUACAGAGAAGCCGGAAUGCAUGGUGUAGCGGUGAAAUGCAUAGAUAUCAUGAAGAACUCCGAUUGCGAAGGCAGCAUACCGGCGCCCGACUGACGCUGAGGCACGAAAGCGUGGGGAUCGAACAGGAUUAGAUACCCGUGUAGUC